GACUUGGGCUUUUGGAAAUCCCUAACUCCGGUGGUCAUGGCUCACUUCUGCACUUUACCACUAUGCCAUUAAAUGUCUCAUUUCAUUCUAGACCAACCUUGUAAGCAUAUGAAUAUUGGUCAAUAUUUGAUGCAAAUGUUUUGAGUUUGAAGGAAUUCACUGAUCCAACGCCUAAAGAAGGAACAUCCAUUUUGAAGGCAAUAUCUUCAGCUAUGGUAUUGCUCAAAGGUAAACAAUCAUCAUGUGGUGUUGCAUUGUUAACUGAUUCUAAUUAUGGGACAUGAAUCUAAACUCGAAUUUAAGGCUCCCAAAUUAAGAAGCACACCUUUCUAAUUAUCCAUUGAAAAAAUAUAGCAUAAAGAAUUAAUAUUUCCAAUUUAUAGGAAUAAAUGCUCAAUGCUAGUGGAUAU